rnacentral:rRNA from 1 species
UACGGAGGGUGCAAGCAUUAAUCGGAAUUAUUGGGCGUAAAGGGUGCGUAGGUGGUGAUAAAAGUCAGGCGUGAAAUCCCGGGGCUCAACCCCGGAACGGCGUUUGAUACUUUAUCUCUUGAGGGUUGGUGGGGAAAGCGGAAUUCCACGUGUAGCGGUGAAAUGCGUAGAUAUGUGGAAGAACACCUGUGGCGAAAGCGGCUUUCCAACUUAUUCCUGACACUGAGGCACGAAAGCGAGGGGAGCAAACAGG